ACCCGAAAAUGGCAAACUUAUCGAAAGAUAAGGACGCAAAACUAAAGGGCCUUCUGCAUAAGCAGGUGGUAGCCAGUUAUCGAA
rfam:Clostridiales bacterium GWD2_32_59 gwd2_scaffold_217, whole genome shotgun sequence.